rnacentral:rRNA from 1 species
AUUGAACGCUGGCGGCAGGCCUAACACAUGCAAGUCGAGCGGAAGAAGGGCGCUUGCUCCUGGGACCAGCGGCGGACGGGUGAGUAAUGCCUAGGAAUCUGCCCAGUAGUGGGGGAUAACGUCCGGAAACGGGCGCUAAUACCGCAUACGUCCUGAGGGAGAAAGUGGGGGAUCUUCAGACCUCACGCUAUCAGAUGAGCCUAGGUCGGAUUAGCUAGUUGGUGGGGUAAAGGCCUACCAAGGCGACGAUCCGUAACUGGUCUGAGAGGAUGAUCAGUCACACUGGAACUGAGACACGGCCCAGACUCCUACGGGAGGCAGCAGUGGGGAAUAUUGGACAAUGGGCGAAAGCCUGAUCCAGCCAUGCCGCGUGUGUGAAGAAGGUCUUCGGAUUGUAAAGCACUUUAGGUUGGGAGGAAGGGCAGUAAGUUAAUACCUUGCUGGUUUGACGGUACCUGCAGAAUAAGCACCGGCUAACUACGUG